rnacentral:rRNA from 1 species
UAGGGAAUCUUCGGCAAUGGGGGCAACCCUGACCGAGCAACGCCGCGUGAGUGAAGAAGGUUUUCGGAUCGUAAAGCUCUGUUGUAAGAGAAGAACGUGUGUGAGAGUGGAAAGUUCACACAGUGACGGUAACUUACCAGAAAGGGACGGCUAACUACGUGCCAGCAGCCGCGGUAAUACGUAGGUCCCGAGCGUUGUCCGGAUUUAUUGGGCGUAAAGCGAGCGCAGGCGGUUUAAUAAGUCUGAAGUUAAAGGCAGUGGCUUAACCAGUGUUCGCUUUGGAAACUGUUAAACUUGAGUGCAGAAGGGGAGAGUGGAAUUCCAUGUGUAGCGGUGAAAUGCGUAGAGAUAUGGAGGAACACCGGUGGCGAAAGCGGCUCUCUGGUCUGUAACUGACGCUGAGGCUCGAAAGCGUGGGGAGCAAACAGG